rnacentral:rRNA from 1 species
GACGAACGCUGGCGGCGUGCUUAACACAUGCAAGUCGAACGGAAAGGCCCUGCUUUUGUGGGGUGCUCGAGUGGCGAACGGGUGAGUAACACGUGAGUAACCUGCCCUUGACUUUGGGAUAACUUCAGGAAACUGGGGCUAAUACCGGAUAGGAGCUCCUGCUGCAUGGUGGGGGUUGGAAAGUUUCGGCGGUUGGGGAUGGGCUCGCGGCUUAUCGGCUUGUUGGUGGGGUAGUGGCUUACCAAGGCUUUGACGGGUAGCCGGCCUGAGAGGGGGACCGGCCACAUGGGGACUAAGGGACGGACCAGACGCCUACGGGAGGCAGCAGGGGGGAAUAUUGCACAAUGGGCGGAAGCCUGAUGCAGCAACGCCGCGUGCGGGAUGACGGCCUUCGGGUUGUAAACCGCUUUCGCCUGUGACGAAGCGUGAGUGACGGUAAUGGGUAAAGAAGCACCGGCUAACUACGUG